UGAGCAACCUGCCCCCUACUUCGGGAUAAGCCUUGGAAACGAGGUCUAAUACCGGAUAUGAACACUUGCCGCAUGGUGGGUGUUGGAAAGUUUUCGGUGGGGGAUGGGCUCGCGGCCUAUCAGCUUGUUGGUGGGGUAAUGGCCUACCAAGGCGUCGACGGGUAGCCGGCCUGAGAGGGCGACCGGCCACACUGGGACUGAGACACGGCCCAGACUCCUACGGGAG
rnacentral:rRNA from 1 species